GGGAGGCAGCCAUUUUGAAUUUUCACUUUUGAUCGUAUUGAACGCUGAAAAUCGCAAUUUUGUUUAAAAUCGAGUGAAUUUUUCCCAAAACGGGCUCGAAAGGAUGCUAUUUUAACACCUCGGUGCAAUUUUCACUUGAUAAACCAACUUUUGCCGUAGUUCUAUCAAAACAAAAUAAAAGUGAAAUUGCACAAAAUCAAUAUCGGGUCAACGUCCUGCUGCUGCGUUCAACCCGGAGAAUCCCGGAACUCCCGGAAAUGCCUAACUGGGAAUUUGCGCCUUUAGCGUCACUACAAUCGCCAGGUGGAAACACGCAUCGUAACGGUACAAAAAUCCGGCGUGUGUUUAUCGAAAGAGGAGUAUUCAACAAGUUGUGUGUGGGCAGGUGAUACCAUUCAACGGAACUUGAUUUCUCAAGGCUAUAAGGGUCGGGAUUGUCGGAACCUUCAUCAAUUUCAGGAUUGGAGGUGUUUCUGGUGAAAUUAUCCUAACUGUUCAAGUCUGGCUGAUGGAAACUAAGUUCGCCGUCGUCGUCGACGACGCAACUCGAUGAAGAUGAACUCAUUUCUUCUCUUGUCCAUCGAGGACAUGCAUAAGAGUUCGUCGACCCAUGCACACAUAGAAGAAGAAGCUCGACCAACUAGACUGUCGGAGUGUAACUAGACCACUGGAACAUGGAGGUGACGCGCCUGACGUCACUCUCAUGUUACCUACAUUAGACAACUUCGGUCGACGAACUCUUCUUACUUCUUGAAAACGAGAUGCACCAGCUGAAGUGACCCAAACUGCACUUUCAGAGCCCUUCGGGGAUGUCUGGGACGAGCUCAGACUAUUCGUCAGCGGCCAAAUCGCGCAUAAUUGGACCUGGGGCCUGAAAAUCACCCAGGCCAAGAGCUCGGCCACCAACAAAGACGUCUUUUCGAAAAAAUAUUUCGAUCUUUGAAACUUAUUUUUUCUAAAUGAUUUUUUCGCCAGAUUUAGUGUAACAGGCCCUGAUGACCAAUUUUUAAUGACCAAAAACUUCUGGGUAGCAUUUUUUGUGGCCCUUGGCCUAGUUGUGGUUGUGAUUAAAUCAGCGCCCAGCAAAUGGGCCCAGACGUGGUAACCACCUGCCGUCCCUUCUAAUGAGAGGACGCCGAAAGGGUUAACACUGGCCAUUAGUUAUCUGGCCCCCGUUAGAAUCUGGGUCAAAUGGGCGUGUGAUUAGAACCAUCUGUUCCAGAUGCACCUUGUGCCGUGAUUUGAUAAAUAUCACCCCCGUCCUUCGGAUCCCGUUAGAGCAGGAAAUGAUGGGCCUCCAUUAUAGCGUCAAACUGUAACCCGAGACCCAUCACAGAUAUGUUAAUGUUGAUAAUUUAGGCUCCAUCAGCUAACUGUAGCCCUCGCUUUUCGUGAUUAGAUUUUAAAUGAGUGUUACAUUUCGCUGAGCUUAAGAGUAAAGAUUUUGCAUGGGAUUUUUGACAGGCCAUCGACCGUUCACUUCUUCGUAAAUGACUUUACAGGUUAUAAUUUCCCAUCAAGUUAGUCAUGGGUCGUGCAAAAGCUGUGCCGUUGCACCAAAAAUCGCAAUAAAACCAUCACAGCCCAUAAAUUACGCCAGAUUUACGGUACCAUAAAACCCUUUCUUCCAGUUUGCCAAUAUUGCGAUUUUGUGUAUCGGUGUUCAAUGCCAUUGUCAAGUUUCAAAUUGCAAAAAUACCAAGAUGUGCAUGAACGACUCUCAAGGUGCAAUGGCCUUAAAACGCUUACUUUUUACCUAGCUACAAGUCCGAAAUCACAAAAAACACCCUUGAAGUUUACUUUCCUUCACUUGCAAUAUUUUGCAACUGCAAUAAAAUCUAACGGAACGAUGGGUUCUUACAAGGGAUGAUUACCGGGAAUUGUAAAAUUUUAUUUAUGGGAUGGCUAUUUCGAAGGAUUUGUCGCCAUUAUGACGGCCGUAUUUUUUAUUAGGGUUGCAAAGUAAUUAUUGACAAUAAUUGCACGAAACAUGGUCGCAAUAAAUAUUGGCGGACUAGCCAAAGCAAACGAAGGGUCAGCUUUCAAAGUGUCCUCUCUUUUUUAAAGAAAAAUUAGAUAGUUGUUUUACAUUAUUCAAACCGUACAACUACUAAGGUGUUAAAUAAAAGCAAGUGUUCAAUCUGA